rnacentral:lncRNA from 1 species
GCGUAUUGAAUAAAAAUGAUAUUGCAAUUAAUGAAGAGGAAAAUAGAUGAUUUAGCAAACAAGAAAAAAAAACUCAAACUUCACAUACAAAGAUUCAAAUGAGUUUAACAAUAUUGUAAUUAUGAAGCCACACUCAGACCCACCAAACAUUCAUCUUCCAUUUUGGGAACAGAUUAAGCAUUCUUCACAUGUAUUCUACAUUAGUACCUCAUCCAAACCCACCUCAGCAGCAUAUAUCACUUCUAUUAUUUCAGUCAAGGGCAUUAUACCAACAUGAAAUAAGUUUUGUAACACAUCCAGACAGGACAAGCAACAACGUUCCUUGUAGCCCUAAAUAGUACUGAAGUAUCCUGAGUUCUGUGACUCACAGGUUCCCUUGUUUUCAUUUUAGUUUUACACACAACAAUUUACAGAAAUCAGAAAUCCUAAUGAUUGAUAGUCUGGCUUCCUUGCUUUUUACUUCUGAGAACUUAGCUUUAAGGGUUCAUCAAGGAUUUUCACAAGAAAACUCUAGUCAGCAAAUCUUCAUCCUUACAGUUCAAUCAUAGGCAUCCCACCGCAUGGUUUAAUGUAUUUAGGGCCACAUGUACCAUAAAAUCAUAAGCCAAUCUGUUUUCUUUUUCUACCUAAACCCAUAUUCUUUUUAGCUUUCAUCAAGCCGCCAUCACAUCCUCAAACUAAACCAUAUAACUACAUAGUCAUACUAGUUCAUUGAAGGCCCC